rnacentral:rRNA from 1 species
AAGAGAGGAGCUUGCUCUUCUUGGAUGAGUUGCGAACGGGUGAGUAACGCGUAGGUAACCUGCCUUGUAGCGGGGGAUAACUAUUGGAAACGAUAGCUAAUACCGCAUAACAAUGGAUGACACAUGUCAUUUAUUUGAAAGGGGCAAUUGCUCCACUACAAGAUGGACCUGCGUUGUAUUAGCUAGUAGGUGAGGUAAUGGCUCACCUAGGCGACGAUACAUAGCCGACCUGAGAGGGUGAUCGGCCACACUGGGACUGAGACACGGCCCAGACUCCUACGGGAGGCAGCAGUAGGGAAUCUUCGGCAAUGGGGGCAACCCUGACCGAGCAACGCCGCGUGAGUGAAGAAGGUUUUCGGAUCGUAAAGCUCUGUUGUAAGUCAAGAACGGGUGUGAGAGUGGAAAGUUCACACUGUGACGGUAGCUUACCAGAAAGGGACGGCUAACUACGUGCCAGCAGCCGCGGUAAUACGUAGGUCCCGAGCGUUGUCCGGAUUUAUUGGGCGUAAAGCGAGCGCAGGCGGUUUGAUAAGUCUGAAGUUAAAGGCUGUGGCUCAACCAUAGUUCGCUUUGGAAACUGUCAAACUUGAGUGCAGAAGGGGAGAGUGGAAUUCCAUGUGUAGCGGUGAAAUGCGUAGAUAUAUGGAGGAACACCGGUGGCGAAAGCGGCUCUCUGGUCUGUAACUGACGCUGAGGCUCGAAAGCGUGGGGAGCGAACAGGAUUAGAUACCCUGGUAGUCCACGCCGUAAACGAUGAGUGCUAGGUGUUGGAUCCUUUCCGGGAUUCAGUGCCGCAGCUAACGCAUUAAGCACUCCGCCUGGGGAGUACGACCGCAAGGUUGAAACUCAAAGGAAUUGACGGGGGCCCGCACAAGCGGUGGAGCAUGUGGUUUAAUUCGAAGCAACGCGAAGAACCUUACCAGGUCUUGACAUCCCGAUGCUAUUUCUAGAGAUAGAAAGUUACUUCGGUACAUCGGUGACAGGUGGUGCAUGGUUGUCGUCAGCUCGUGUCGUGAGAUGUUGGGUUAAGUCCCGCAACGAGCGCAACCCCUAUUGUUAGUUGCCAUCAUUCAGUUGGGCACUCUAGCGAGACUGCCGGUAAUAAACCGGAGGAAGGUGGGGAUGACGUCAAAUCAUCAUGCCCCUUAUGACCUGGGCUACACACGUGCUACAAUGGUUGGUACAACGAGUUGCGAGUCGGUGACGGCGAGCUAAUCUCUUAAAGCCAAUCUCAGUUCGGAUUGUAGGCUGCAACUCGCCUACAUGAAGUCGGAAUCGCUAGUAAUCGCGGAUCAGCACGCCGCGGUGAAUACGUUCCCGGGCCUUGUACACACCGCCCGUCACACCACGAGAGUUUGUAACACCCGAAGUCGGUGAG